rnacentral:tRNA from 1 species
GCCUGGGUGGCUCAGCCGGUUAAGCGUCUGACUUCAUCUCAGGUCAUGAUUUCACGGUUCGUGGGUUCGAGCCCUGCAUCGGGCU